GUACGCGGGAGAAGCUUGUUGACUGGCCUGCUCUCCUCGGGCAUUGUUGGGGUUCGAAGUUCAUGAAAGUUGUUUGUGAAGCCUCAACUAUGGUAUAAAGAUGACCAUAGGAAAGUCGAGACUGGUACCAGAGACAUAGCCUCAGGCUAGAAGGAGAUACUAGAGUUCUUCUCAAGGAACCUGGACAAGGACUUCACUAUGUAUCCCAAGCUGUUCUUGAAGUCUCUAG